rnacentral:rRNA from 1 species
UACGUAGGUGGCAAGCGUUGUCCGGAUUUAUUGGGUUUAAAGGGUGCGUAGGCGGCUUUGUAAGUCAGCGGUGAAAUACUCUAGCUUAACUAGAGGGGUGCCAUUGAUACUGCGGAGCUUGAGUACAGAUGAGGUAGGCGGAAUUGACGGUGUAGCGGUGAAAUGCAUAGAUAUCGUCAAGAACACCGAUAGCGAAGGCAGCUUACUGGGCUGUAACUGACGCUGAUGCACGAAAAGUGUGGGGAUCAAACAGG